rnacentral:rRNA from 1 species
GAACGAAGCACUAUUAUUUGAUCUCUUCGGAAUGAAGAUUUAGGGAGUGAGUGGCGGACGGGUGAGUAACGCGUGGGUAACCUGCCUCAUACAGGGGGAUAACAGUUAGAAAUGACUGCUAAUACCGCAUAAGACCACAGUACCGCAUGGUACAGGGGUAAAAACUCCGGUGGUAUGAGAUGGACCCGCGUCUGAUUAGGUAGUUGGUGGGGUAACGGCCUACCAAGCCGACGAUCAGUAGCCGACCUGAGAGGGUGACCGGCCACAUUGGGACUGAGACACGGCCCAAACUCCUACGGGAGGCAGCAGUGGGGAAUAUUGCACAAUGGGGGAAACCCUGAUGCAGCGACGCCGCGUGGGCGAUGAAGUAUUUCGGUAUGUAAAGCUCUAUCAGCAGGGAAGAAAAUGACGGUACCUGACUAAGAAGCACCGGCUAAAUACGUGCCAGCAGCCGCGGUAAUACGUAUGGUGCAAGCGUUAUCCGGAUUUACUGGGUGUAAAGGGAGCGUAGACGGAGUGGCAAGUCUGAUGUGAAAACCCGGGGCUCAACCCCGGGACUGCAUUGGAAACUGUCAAUCUGGAGUACCGGAGAGGUAAGCGGAAUUCCUAGUGUAGCGGUGAAAUGCGUAGAUAUUAGGAGGACACCAGUGGCGAAGGCGGCUUACUGGACGGUAACUGACGUUGAGGCU